AACGAACGCUGGCGGCAGGCCUAACACAUGCAAGUCGAGCGCCCCGCAAGGGGAGCGGCGGACGGGUGAGUAACGCGUGGGAAUAUGCCCUUUGCUACGCAAUAGUCUCGGGAAACUGGGGGUAAUACCGUAUACGCCCUUUGGGGGAAAGAUUUAUCGGCGAAGGAUUAGCCCGCGUUGGAUUAGGUAGUUGGUGGGGUAAUGGCCUACCAAGCCGACGAUCCAUAGCUGGUUUGAGAGGAUGAUCAGCCACACUGGGACUGAGACACGGCCCAGACUCCUACGGGAGGCAGCAGUGGGGAAUCUUAGACAAUGGGGGCAACCCUGAUCUAGCCAUGCCGCGUGAGUGAUGAAGGCCUUAGGGUUGUAAAGCUCUUUCAGCUGGGAAGAUAAUGACGGUACCAGCAGAAGAAGCCCCGGCUAACUCCGUG
rnacentral:rRNA from 1 species